GUCCAGGGAUGGGAAUCGAAUCCAUAAUAUUCCGCUUACCGGACAGAUGCCCUGUCCACUAAGGCUACCCUGGA
rnacentral:tRNA from 1 species